rnacentral:rRNA from 1 species
CCUACGGGCGGCAGCAGUGGGGAAUAUUGGACAAUGGGCGAAAGCCUGAUCCAGCCAUGCCGCGUGUGUGAAGAAGGCCUUCGGGUUGUAAAGCACUUUCAGUGGGGAAGAAAGCCUUGGGGCUAAUACCCUCGAGGAAGGACAUCACCCACAGAAGAAGCACCGGCUAACUCCGUGCCAGCAGCCGCGGUAAUACGGAGGGUGCGAGCGUUAAUCGGAAUUACUGGGCGUAAAGCGCGCGUAGGCGGUCUGAUAAGCCGGUUGUGAAAGCCCCGGGCUCAACCUGGGAACGGCAUCCGGAACUGUCAGGCUAGAGUGCAGGAGAGGAAGGUAGAAUUCCCGGUGUAGCGGUGAAAUGCGUAGAGAUCGGGAGGAAUACCAGUGGCGAAGGCGGCCUUCUGGACUGACACUGACGCUGAGGUGCGAAAGCGUGGGUAGCAAACAGGAUUAGAUACCCCGGAGUC